rnacentral:rRNA from 1 species
UACGUAGGGUGCGAGCGUUGUCCGGAUUUAUUGGGCGUAAAGAGCUCGUAGGCGGUUUGUCGCGUCGGCCGUGAAAUCUCCACGCUUAACGUGGAGCGUGCGGUCGAUACGGGCAGACUUGAGUUCGGUAGGGGAGACUGGAAUUCCUGGUGUAGUGGUGAAAUACGUAGAUAUCUGGAGGAACACCGGUGGCGAAGGCGGCGACCUGGUCCUAUACUGACACUCAUACACGAAAGCGUGGGGAUCAAACAGG